ensembl:lncRNA
CCUGUUAUAAGUGGGAAAAAUCUACUCAAUAUGAAAAGAAGAAAACUAAAUGUCCUCUUCAGUAGGAAAGUCCAAGUUUGGAUACUGAUUCAGAUAAGGCUGCCUUCAGAAACAGGUUUCCAGUGCUGACUCUGCCUUCUGUUCUGUUGCCCUCCCAUUUUCAGGUGUCACACGGUAGUCUCCAGCAGUCCUAGGUUCCCAUUGUCCACAGUGAGAAUCCACUGGUUACCAUGGUGACCUUGCUGCAGGGCUACAAACGGAGAGGAAUGGGCCAAAUUUCCUAUCCAUUGUUUUUAAAGAAACCCUCCUUUUAAGAUACCUUUGUGGGGAACUUGAAACAUGUUUGUUUGAGGCAGACCACUGGCCUCUAUCUGUGUGACGAUGGAUGGCGAAAGUAGAGCUGACUCUACCCCAGCAUUGUGGCUUAUGCUGGAUCGACCAGAGUAUUGCUUUCUUCAUAUGGUCUACUGAGACAAUAGAACCUCAGCUGAAAUUGUUGGAAGAGAGGCAUCACAUCCCUCAUUGCUACAUGGGGACAGAGAGUGGAAUACAAGUUGGUCCUGCUGCAGCAACUUGUAUCAAUGAAGAGAGAGCCAAACUAAGAAGAGCUGUUAAAUCAAGCAGUAUCUGAAGCCACUAACCUUCAAUUAUUGGAAAUAAAUAUUUUCUAUCCUUGAAACCUAUCCAGUUGGGUGUUUUGGUCACUUUGCUCUAGAGAAUAAACAAUUGUAUUUUCCUAAAUUUCUAUUAUUUAUCUAAGUUUGGUUAUAUUAAUGCUGCAGAUUGGCACAUAAUGAUUAAUGACUCAAUCUUCAUGUGGAUUUUGAUUUUAAUGAAAUGUAUCUACUGUGAUUUUAUUUUUCUAGAGUUCUAUUUUGUCUUAUGUAAUCAUUGUUGUACGCACUGGCUACAUUUUAUUAUGUGUUACCUCAUCUUUAUGUUUUUGUCCUUUUUUCUGUCAUUUGAUUUUAAGUGUUUCAAGAAAACAACAAAUAUAUGAGUGUUGUUUUUGAGCGAAAUGUAAUGUUUAUCUUAAAUAAGUACUUUUAUAUUUCUUAUUUUUUUUAAAUUUUUAUUUUAAAUUCAGUGGGUACAUGUGCAGGUUUCUCAUGCAAGUAUAUUGCGUGAUGCUAAGGUUUGGGCUUCUAUUGAUCCCGUUACCCAGAUAAUGAAUAUAGUACUCAAUAUAAGUUUUUCAGCCCUUUUUCCCCUCUCCCUUCCUCUUUUUGGAGUCCCCAGUGGCUAUCAUUUUCAUCUUUACAUCUGUGUGUACCCAGUGUUUAGCUCCCAUGUGUAAGUGAGGAUAUGCCAUAUUUGGCUUUCUGUUUCUGUGUUACUUCGCUUGGGAUAAUAACCUCUAGCUGCAUCCCUGUGACUACAAAGGACAUUAUCUCAUUCUUUUUUAUGGCUGCAUAGUAUUCCAUGGUGUGUGUGUACCACAUUCUCUUUAUUCAAUCCACCAUUGACGGGCACCUAAAUUGAUUCCAUGUCUUUGCUUCAAAUACUUUUAAAGUGAUUGUGUAUUUUGAGGUUUUAUUUUUCCUUUGUGUAGGUUUUAACUGUUCUCCUUUGCUGUUUCUUAAAUUAUAAUAGAUCCAUUAUUCUUUACUUUUUUUUUUUUUUUUUUGCCCUACGUGUAACUUAAAUCAUCUAGUUUGGUUCUGUUGGUUAAUUCCCUUAGGUUAUUAUAUUUUAAAAUUAUAUUAGCCCAUACUCUACGCAGUGUUCUCCAUGAUGCUUUUUUACAACAUAAGAAAAUAAGAUGAUUGCCCUUUUAUAUUGAUCACUUCAGAGCAAUAUCCACAUACUUACUUUAAUUGCUUCCUAGUAAGCUUUAGUUAGUCAUUUUUUUAAAUAAAAUCUCCUCAUUUCACUGAUUUAUUUUGAAAUGCAAUAUUGAAGUGAAUAUUUCUGUGCAUGGAGAUUUUUGUGAAGCAAUCUAAAUAUUUCUUUAAUGGAAAUUACUGUAACUUUAUAUCAUAGGUCAAACAGUAUAGGUUUUUUUAAAGCCUUUGUUACACAUUGCCAACUUACUCUCCAGAAUAGUUCCACCAAUAAAUGCUGCCACUGUGAGUGCAUGCAAAUGCCUUUCUUCUCACACAUUCAUUCCAACAUUGUCCAUCUGAUGAGUAUAAAUUAUCUUCAUGCUUAAAAUAUGUUUCCAUAGAUAGUUCUCAAUCAAAAUCAAGAAUACACAAGUAUCUUUUAGUGAGGAAUAGGAUGGGAAGAAUUCCGACUCAAAAGUAGACUGCAGAAAAAUCAAACCCUGUCUUAUCUGUUUUCCAGCUGUUGACUUACUUUUAUCUGUAUAAUGGGGGAAAUAUAGGUUCUAUUUUAUAGGGUAUGUGUGAAGAUUAAAUAAGUAGAGUGAUUAGCAGACUGUCUGUGUAUAGGAAAUACUACAUAAGUAUUGAUUACUGUUAUUAUUAUAUGUAAGAUAAAAUGUUCAAGAUAUUUCGAUUUUCUUCUUGCUUUUUAUUAUUUUUCUUUACAAAAUUGUAGAACUUUUUACUUAUAUGUUGUUCUGCACUUUCCUUCCUUGUCUUUCAUUUAUUAUUUUAAAAACAUUCAUUAAAAUGUCAGCAAUCAUUUAUGCUUUAUAAAUUACUUUUAAUCGUUUGGUUGUUUACCAUAAUUUCUUCUCAAGCAGUGCACUUCAGAACUUAAAUAUGUACAUUCUUAUGCUCUACUCCAGAUACAUUGAACUAGACAUGCUGGAGGGGGGAAGGUCCAAUCCAUGGUUUACAAGCUUUUCAGGUGGUUUUGAUGCAUACUCAAGUUGAGAGCCACCACUUAAAACUACUCUGUAGGGAAUAAGGGAAGCAAAGGAAAGUGUUAUGACUCUAGUCUCUGAAUCAGGUAGUAUAGUUUGAAAACUGGGUCUAUUAUUUAGCUAUGUGACCUUGAGCAAGUUAAUGUUUCCGUCUCAGUUUCUUUUCUUUUUUUUUUUUUUGUAAAAUGGAGGUAAAAGAGUUAUGAAAAUUAUAUGAAAUAACAUUUUUAAGCAGUUCAAGCAGAACCUACUCCAAGGAAAUGCUUCAGUGAAUACUAACUAAUUUAUCUGCCCUUUGCGUGAGUCCUCGGUAGUUCUUUAUAACUUAGUCAAUAGGACUAUUUGGUCAACAUACAGGAUUUUCUGAAUCUAUCAUUUAUUUUCUUUCCCAUGCAACAUGAAAAUGUUAACAAAUGAGAAAAAGGAGAAAGGUAUAGGAUCAAUACUUUAGUACAUAUUCUUGUCUUAUUCCUGGUUAAAGAUAAGUAUCUUUAAGUUUACCUAACUCGCUAACUCAGUAAUUUCUUCUGUUUCUCACUCCAACUUCAGUCAGAGCAGUUCUUCUUUUAUCUAUAUUGAUAGUUUCCACAUAAAAUUUUAUUUAAAUAAAGAACUCUGCCCAGAAGAAAAGAUAAAAUAUCCAGUAAUCUAGUCUAAUCCUUUCAUGUUAAAAAUGAGGAAACUGAGACUCUUUAAAGUUAAGUUUCAUAUACAAGGUCACAAGGCAUAACAAAAAAUCAACAUCAAAGUGCUGGAACUCUGAUGUCUUAAGAUUUUAUUUUUCAGUAGUUCCACUUGGCAGCAUGUGGCUAGAAACAUGUCUAUGUGCUUGCUAGCUUCUGAUGGAAAAGGGAUUAGAGUGUCACAGUAUGUAAAUAAGUAAAACUGUUUAAUUUAGGCCUUUUCCUAUAUUCUACAACAUAUAGCCACUAAGCAAAUGGUAAAAAGGCAAGAAAUUUGAGAUUUCUCAGUCUUGAGAUUUUCUGCCUAAAGACUCCCUAUUUGGGGAAGUUAUCUGCUGUGUUUCUUUCUCUAUUUUUAUUUUAUUUUAUUUUAUUUUUUGAGACUGAGUCUCGCUGUGUCACCCAGGCUGGAGUGCAGUGGCCUGAUCUCGGCUCACUGCAAACUCCACCUCCCGGGUUCACUCCAUUCUCCUGCCUCAGCCUCCCAAGUACCCGGGACUACAGGCGCCCGCUACUACGCCCAGCUAAUUUUUUGUAUUUUUAAUAGAGACGGGGUUUCACCACGUUAGCCAGGAUGGUCUUGAUCUCCUGACUUCGUGAUCCGCCCGCCUCGGCCUCCCAAAGAGCUGGGAUUACAGGCGUGAGCCACCGCGCCCAGCUGCUGUGUUUCUUUAUUAUUGACUCAGUUAAAUUAUACCUAUAAC